GGAAAAAUCCAAGCUCAAGAAAGGUGGUCAGAUGUGAAUUUCCUGACCAAAACUACGUUUGUGAUAUCCAAACCUACAUAAAUUCAAUAUUGACAUAGUAAAAGAAAGUGUACUUUUGUACAGUAAGAAUGUCAGAUUAAAGCAUAAUAUAUGUUUCCAGGUCAGAAGAUUUAAACUGAACAGUGCUGGGUAUGGCAAAGACAGUGCACCAUUGUAAGAUAUUGUAACAACUUAAAUUAAAGUAUGGUAUAUUUUCCAAGUUAAAUCAUUCAAGAUAUUGUCAAGAUGUAAAAAAAUCCACAGAAAAAUAUAUACGUGUAAAAAAACAAUCCACAAAAGAGUAUGCAUAAGAAAUGUACGGUAAGCUUAACAGUUGCAAAGCCAGAUUCAUUAUGAUAUAAUAUUUAUUGAUUAUUUCCAAAAGAUUUUAUAACAAUAAAGUGUUUCUUGGAAUUGUACAAUUACUACAAUUUGUUUCUUUCUAAGUCAAUAUAAAUGUUUUGUAGAAACGGUUUGAUAUCGAUAUCAUUGAAGAAACUUCAUGGAGAGUAAUAUAUAUGAUAAGUACUUCUUCAACUUUUCAUUUUUUAGACCAGAGUAUUCCUUGUUUGUUGGAGAAUUAUCAGAUGAUGUUGAUGACUAUGUUUUAUAUCAGGCAUUUGCUAAGAGAUAUAGGUCAUGUAGAUCUGUUAAAAGUAAGUUUGUUGCUAUGGAUGUGUUAUAGUAGGUAUUUUCUAAGAGAUAUAGAGGUUCCUGUAGUGUAGACCUAAGGGUAUCUACAUUGUGCCUUAGGUUACAAGCACACAUUUAAAAAUUACCUCAGGUCACAAGGUCAAUAUUAAGCAAACUUAAAUUAGCCUCUGUUACUUGUUCCGCUAUUAUCAGAUGAUGUUAACACCUGUUAUACUAGGCAUAUUUUUAGAGGUAAAGUUCAUAUAGAUCUUCUCAUAGUAAUCUGAGCCAACUAUAGUAAUUUCACUUUUUGGCCAUCCUUUUGUAGUAUAUAGAGAAAUCAUUAAUUGUUUUACAUUUUGUGCCUUAUAAUAGUAAUUGUUAUUUUCAUGUUUUGUAAUCAAUAAUUUAAAUGAAUAAUUAAGCUUCCUUUAUACUCAAUUUUGCCAUUUAUAAAAUCUAUGGUAUUAAAACAAUUUGUGUUGUUGAAUUUCCAUGUUUUAUUUUAUAUUUUCAUUUUCACUGACCUGUACUUUUUGUAUUGCAAUAUCGUAAAAGACACACUGAUGCAUUGAAACAUUGAGAAAAAAAAGCAAGAAAUAAUUUCAAAGACACUUCAAUUCUAUUGUAGUUGUGACUGAUAGUUCAGGACGAAGUAAAGGUUAUGGCUUUAUUAGAUUUACAGAAGAGAACGAUCAACAGAGAGCUCUUAUUGAAAUGCAACAUUUUCCUGGAAUAAGUCGCAGACCAAUUAGAGUUAGUUUAGCUACCCCUAAAAGGUAAUGUUUAUAUAUAUCUAUAUCUAUAUAUAUCUAUGUAAUCGUUUACAAUGAUAUACAUAUUUCUUCUUCUUUAAUAGUUGAUGAAAUAAACUAUGUAUCCUGCAAAUUACAUGCAAUGUCCUGCUUAUUGUGAAGGAUAAUACAGUGCCUUAUAGUUGACAUCCUCCUAAUUUGCUCUCUGGUAGAUGGGUUUUUUUUUUGGCAAUCAUACCACAUCUCCUUUUUAUUUAAAUUACUAUAUUGAACAGUUAUCAAACUUUCCAUUGUUAACAUGUCACAUUCCAACUCAGUUAUUAGAAAACUGUAAGUGCAGAUUCAGGUAGAAAUGCAAAAUUAGGACAAGUACUUUACCAAAAUCUACUUGCCUUUGGCAAUUUUUGUCUUGUCCCUACUGUUUGUGCUAAUUUUCAAUGUGCAGAAAUUAUUUGUUAUGGACAAGUACUAUAAAUUCAGAAAUUAUUGUGAGGUUUUUAUUAUUGCGAAUAAUGCGAAUGGGUGAAUAUCGCAAGAAUAAGAACUAGCAUUCUUAAAUCUGACACAAACAUUUAUAAACAGCUUUUCCUGAAAUUGCAAUAAUACUUAUGCAUUUUGGUCUAUCGAAGCAAAAACACAUAAUAAAUGCACUCAAUAAUUUCUGAAUUUACAGUAGUGGAAUAGGAACAUAAUCAAUUGUCUGAGAGAUUUUGGAACGAGUAAGGCAUGAAAUUUCCACAUCUCUGAAGCUGGAUAUAUAUAGACAGUAAUAAAAGAUUUAUUGUACUUUAUUAUUUCAGACCCCUGCCACCAGAUGUAUCUGGAGAUGUACAUUACAGUCAUUAUUAUGGUCAUAAUUACCCUUACAGUGCCUCAUAUUACCAGUAUUAUGGAUCCCAUACUGCACCUCAUUCAUCACAUGAUCAUGUAGGUGUUGUAAAAUCAUUUUCUUAUCAAAAUAUUGUUUAAAGUUUACAAUUUAUUGUCAAACCUUUUCUUUUUUUUUCGUACCAAAAUUAUGAUUGAGAAAGUAGCAUAUGAUAUAAUAGUGUUAACUACUACAAAAGAAAUAGAAGUACCAUUCUAAAAGAUCCAAAAUUUCAUUAAUUAUGCCUUCCAUAAGUAAUUUUUUUUAUUAUAAAUUAAAGCAAAACAGACAAGAAGAUUAGUUUUUGGAUAUUUUUCAUAUAAUAUAUGAAAAACACCCCAAAACUAUUAAAGUCUACAGAUUAUUUUCGUUCUUUUACCAUUCUCUAUGCAUGAUCUUUUAUAUUCGGUCAUGUUACUUAUUACAGGCAGUAGUUAUAGCUUCCACUAUACUAAUUAAAAAGCUUCAGAUCACAUUGACUUCUCAGGAAAGAAUAUUUAUAGCAGUUUAUAUUCCCAUCUGUUUUCUUACAAGAAGCUAUAUUGUAUUGUAUUUUAUGCAUCCAUCAGUUUCUGUGAUAAACAUGUAUGUGUGUAAUGAAGAGAGAACUAAGUGUUGACUAUUUUGUAGGCACACCAUGAACCCGCGACUGCAGAAGAUGAAAUGGAUACACUAGAAGGUGUGUACCUAAUAAAGUAUAAUGUAAAAAAUGGGAUCUUUAAUAUAAAACAAAAUAUUUGUUGCUAUUUUCAACUGGUUCUAUUUAAAUCAUUAAAUGAAUAGACCAUCAAAUUUAAGUUGUCUUUGUAAGUUGUAUGGGUUUUGGGUGUAUAGAAUAACCUUGUCUAUCUUUUAAUCUAUAUAUCAUGUCUAUUUAUCCCUCAUAUAAAUACAAAUUAAAGAUUUAAAGAAAGGGUUGUGAAUUCGUAUAAGUUAAAAGUUCAUAAGUUCUCAGCAUAUUAAUAGCCCCACGCCAUAAUUCCAAUGAUGAGCUUUGAAAGAGGAGUUCUUGUCCAUAAAAUGUUCCAAAAAGAUUUUGUUUUCAAUUAAGGGCUCCAAAGGUUGUAAAUGACUUUUUUUGUAAUGUAAAUUGUAUUCCAUGUUUUAUUGUAUUAUACAAUCAGAUGUCCAAAGAUAUCAGUAGACUCAGAUAUUGAAAACCGUUACUUCUUCAUCUGUCAAAGUUGAAUCUUGCGGAAAAAUUGGUUUUCUUUUCUUUUUUGUUUCCUUUUUUGUCUUGCCUGCAAAACAGGGGUUGCUUUUCCAGCAUCAACAAUUGUUAAGUUUUCUGCUUACAGUAAGUUAGUUUGAUGGAAAAUGAUUGUGAUAGAACAUUGAUAUUUAAUAUUAAGUUGCAUUACUAUCAGUAAAUGAUGACUAUAUUGAGGACCAGACCAAGGGAUGGUCCAGAUACUUUGAAUUACUUAGCCAUAUUCAAUGCUUUUUUUGUCCAUCAGAUUGUCUUUUUCAAAUAUUAUUCUGACAAGCGAGACAUAUCUGUGUCAACAGCUUUUUUUAAAGAAUAUUUUUAUUGAUUUAUACAAAAAAAAAAUGCUUUUAAAUGUUAAUUACUCCAAAUUUACUUUUAUUCCUACAUGUUUUAAUAGAAUAAUUUGUUACUUCAGAACCAGAAUUAGAGAUAGAUGUGUUUAGAUACAAUAAAGACUUUAUGGAACAAAGUGAGGUAUGUACAAAUAAAACCUUGCCACAGGUUUAUAAAAAUAAGGAGAUGCAGUAUGAGUGCCAAUGAGACAACACUCCAUCCAAGUCACAAUUUGUAAAAGUAAAUCAUUGAAGGUCAAAGUACGUCUUCAACACGGAUCCUUGGCUCACACUGAACAGCAAGCUAUAAAGGGCCCCAAAAAUAACUAGUGUAAAACCAUUCAAACAGGAUAACCAACAGUCUAGUCUAUAUAAAAAACAAGAAACAUUUAUGAACCACAUCAACAAUAUCAACCACUGAAAAUAACUGAAUAUUCUUUUUCAUUUAUAAUAUUCAAAGCUAAAACAGCUUAGGUUUUGUUCAAUAGACAAUGUUGUGAUAGUUUUUCUAUGUAAAGAAUCAUAAGGCUGUCUAAUUUCUUCUAGGAAUAAAUGAUAUCUCGGGUACCAGUCAGCAUCAUUUAUUACCAGAACAAUUAAAACUAUAUCAAGUAUUUACAGAAAAGUCUUGUAAACCAUGCAUCGCAUCUGUCAUCAUAUCAUAUUAAGGUACAUCAGAAUUUUUUUUAUUGUAAAUACUAAUAUCGUAUCAAAGAAUACUAAUGUCAUGUUAAGUUAUAAUUUUUUUAAGAAUUUUUUUUUUUCAUUUUCAGGAAGUGUUUGAAGCCAUUGAACUUUCAAGAUGGACACCAUUAGACAGUAUAACAUCAAAGUUACCUCCCCCUAUGUCUAUCUAGUCAUUAUCUCAACUAUGUCAACAGUAAUUGUGUCAUUCUAUUCAUAUCUCUUCAUUGUGUCAUUAUGUUUAUUACAUUUUAGUUCAUGUAUAUAUAUUUAAACAAACAAUAUUGACUGAAAGGAUUUCAGUUAUAAAACAGAAUGUGUUCAUUGUAUAUCAUAAUUGUCAACUCACUGCCAUCUACCAUUAUUAAUCAUCUGUCAUUGUCUAC
rnacentral:lncRNA from 1 species